rnacentral:lncRNA from 1 species
UGACCUCUAGUUUUGGAUGUAGUGUGAAUUCAAAUCCAACUUCACUCAUUCAGUCUGAAGACCUGCUCACUUAUACAAUCAUUUUGACAGUGGAAUACAGAGGAUGUGACUUUAAAGUUACUGCUCAUGUGCGUAAAUACAUGAUGAAUCUUAUAACAAAGACAGAUCACUGAGUGAAAUCUGGUCCAAGUCCAAAAUUUUUAUAAUCCGAGAAGAAAUUUUCACAAUUUAAGUUUCGAAGGUCGUUCCACUGCUGGCCAAAGUUGCUUUUUAACAUCUUCUCAAUAAAAAUUCUGCCAAUUUACACAAUAUUAAGGGCCACUUGAUAAUAACCUUUUUUUGUCUACUGAAAGCUGUCCUCCUUGUUAUUGGUAUUAUCAUGCUGGUCUUGUACCUUCACAUACUACUGUCAGAGUUUCCUGGCCUCGACACAACACUGCCUGGCAGUGCAGUGAAAGCCCCUCUUGUUCAUGCAUGUGCUCACAAGUUGGAAAACGUAUUUAUCUUUCUGAGCGGUGUCUGACGUUGGACAAAUAUUCUCAACUGCCCAAAUUUUGAUGAGGCAUUUCACCUCCAUGCUACUCCACACACCCUGCAAUGGACUAGUGAACCUUAACAGACGAAAGGGAAAAAUGGAACGACUUUAAAAGAUUUGAUUUUUGCGUGUUAGUUUGACUGAAACCAGACUUUAACAACACAUAUUAAUGUGUUCAACCAACUAAAAAGUCACACAUACACACAAAAAAAUCUCAUAGUAGGACUCAAAUGCCAAAUAAUAUGGUUGGGGAUCAUUUUUACUUGCGCCCUAAAUUUGACUGAAACUGGCUAACCUUCCUCCUGUGUUAGCUUUAACUACGCACACAAAAUGUUAAGGGUCGGUUUCGACCAGUGUCUUAAAUCAGCUAUAAAUUACACUAAAAACAAUUUUCUAUCAUCCAAUUUGGUUCUCAUCUCUAUGUUUCCUUGUUAGGCUUCAUUAUCCAUGAAAAUAUUACUUAUAAUAUUCUCUGUAGUGGUCCUCUGGGCCUUUCUUUGUCAGUAUACCGCUCAUACAGACAUCUAUACUGAAUUGAUCUCACAUGUCCGGACAUGCCCAACGUUGUUUUUUGUGCAGGGAAAAAACAGGAAAAAUGAGAAUUUCCUCAAUCUUACAUGAUUGGAAGAGGAUCUGACUGUCAGUGUGGUGCCUGACAGUGCACUUAUGAUUCUAGUUUUUGCUCUAAGUAUUAGAUAUUAAUCUAAUCCCCCCUAAUCUGUCAUGUUAGCAACCCUAACAUGACAGGUGCCAUAAUUUUAAUGAGAGCAUUUUAUAAUUUAGUCAAUUUAAUUUUUUUAUUUUCAUUUUGUUGAAAUAGAGGUUCCUGACAAAGUCAAAAAGUCUAAAUGCAAAUAAACUAAUUUAAGUGGUUCUUAUAUGCAUUUAAAAACAGAAACAGGUCAGUGCAGACCCGAACACCGGAGGAGGGCUAGUCCAAAAAAAAUUCGCAUGUCGGGCUUUGACCCAGAAAUUGACCAGCAUAAAGACAUUUAUUCGCCUGUUGCUGGGACAAAGAUAACGGUCCAGUUAAAUUGUCCAAUAACUGAAAUAACAGAAGCUCAACUUAACUGUGCAUGUAAAAGAACUGAGAGUGUCAUCUUAUCAUCUGAAUCAGACCCAAACAAAUGAGAUAGAAGCGUGAAUGCACCUGUGUUUUGGAACAAAACCAAAACCAAACAACAAUACAGUCACAUGUUUUCGUCAUGCGCACGUAAGCACAAAUCAGAUUCAUAUUCAAAGAGUCUGCAUACAAGUGUUCAUUACAUUCCUGCCCUGAGCAUCCGCUUGGCAGAUUUCAUUUAAAAUGAAACACAUGAAGCACAUGCAUCGUGAAUAAAUGAUUAACUAUUUAAUUAAUCAGAGACAUUUUUUUGUGUCUGGAAGUAUCAAGAGUGAAGGGAAGGAACAUUGGCCUCUGAGAUCAAAGCAUUUAGAAAAGACAACGCAGCUCUUAUGAAACACAAAGAAAGCACACACACACAUUCACACACAUUUGUUUCAUUCAUCAGUCAUUUUCAAAUCAAUGCUCAGCCAGGCCGUGAAACAUUAGCGACUAAUUGGAGACUUGGUAAUUAUGACUGCUCAUACAUACUGAACAGUGGCAGACAAUCCCCGGAUGUGUCUCCAGCUGUGGAAUCUAAUCUGACAGUUUAGUGUCUCCAUUCAGAACCCGAGUGAAAAACCAGAAGAGGAAGAGUCCCUCAUUCAGCGUUACUGCAGAGUGCUUGACAGGCAUUAUCUCUGCAGAAACUAGACGUGACACCUCCGCUAUUGAAAUGCAAAUGUGAAAAACACUACAGGGGUGGCAAACAUCAGCAUAUUUCUCAUAUUAAAGCUGUGAGGCUGCAGGACUCUAUGUUGAUGUGAUGAUGUAGAUAUCCAGCUGGGUUACAGCCGUGUCACCUGAAUCAGGGAGCAUCUAAUACAAAAAUUUCUACUUUUUCCAUAAUAACAUUUGAUGAGGGGGAUGCAGGAGGGAUAUAAAAACUGGAAGUGGGAGAAAAUGAAAAGGGGGGAGGGGGUAUAUGUAGAGAUGAUGGGGUCAAAGGGUAAGAGAGAGGGGCGUAUGUGUUUUUGCUAAAACAUGCAGCUUGAUAAAAAUCCUUUUAAACAAAUAUUAAAAUAAGAAGGCCGUAGUUACCUGUAGGAUUUUUCACAUCAUUUGCACCCUAACUUAAAUCAUUGCACGUUUUGGCAUUUUGAACGUGGACUCAGGAUCUGCCGCUCUUUGUUCCUCCUGUGCAAUUAUGCACGCAAAGAAUUAACAAGUAAAAUCCACAGAAGAAGCUUUCAGGUUCUACUGCCUCUCCAUCUCCAUAAGAACAGGGCUGCCAGUGUUAUGCAUAAUGAAUAAUUCACAAGAAAUUUCUGUGAGUGUGUGUGUGUGUGUGUAAACUAUGAGCGAUAGUUAUGAUAUUUGAAUAAAGGUGGAGGUCCUUCAGUGUUAUUGUAGAUGAUGUGAGGGGAGGGACGAUCUCUCAUUGUAGCACAGCUCAACAAAUCCAUACACUCAUUAAUGAAAAUCACUCCACUAUUCUGAAUGUGUACACACAUAAAAUUAAACACACAGACUCACAUACCUGUUUUUUUUUAAAAUGCUGUUAUUUAUUUAAUCACAGCGGCUGAUGUUUUUUAGGCUUGAUGAGGAGGACAGACUUUAGCGAGACAGAGGAGGAGGUGGCGGCAUUAUGGUUAUGCGGUUUCUCAUUAAACUGUGAUGCUAAUAUUGACAUUAAAUCCCUCCCACUGAGAGACACAGGGGUGUGCAGGGACUGACUCCAGCACAGAUGCAAACAGAUUGAGCAGAACGUCCACAGUGGACUGCUGUAAAAAGGUCACUUCAAAAAAUACACGAAAAAAGACUAAACAAUGAUUGCACUGUAAUUUGCCUCUUGAAGUUCGGCUUCAGUCUGAGAUAUCUUGAGGAUCAUAAAGCACUAAAAAAAUUCUCAUUUAAGGUGCUUUCACACUGGGACUGUUUUUGUUGUGCGAUUAUUUCGGACGUCAAUAUUUUUUUCGAACCCGUAUCCUGUCAAUACAAGCGUUCACAUCAGCGAUGUUUUUCCGUCCUGCAAUGUUGCUGCAUUUAUUUUUUCGGAUCACAGUCGAUUUCUCUAAAGUUUCGCAUUCUGUGUGUCCACUUCUGACCAAUCGGAUUUUGUGUUGUUGCGACGUCUGAUUCAUCUGGUAUAUCAAACAUGGCCGACCGGCUGAUUGUUUACAUGUCGAAGAACAGAGUGCUUUUUGAUAAAAAACACAAACAUUACAAAGAUAACCACCUGAAGGACAACUUGUGGAGAGUCAUAGCGUCGGAUUUCUCAUAUGACUAUGUUUUGUGUGCUUUAACAGUUUGCUAAACGCCUUUGUUUAACUUUCAUCCGUGCUAACGUAAGCUAACGGUUGUUACCAUAGUUUCAUGUGCUUAUCUUAUCGCCUCUGAUUGGCUAUAAGUGCUGACCAUUUGGCUUGAGUGUGUGAUGACGUUUCCAGACUUUCCCCAGGAAAGGUCGCAAAAUCGCACAACAAAAUUCACGGCGCGUCAAAAUUCUUCUUUUAAUUAAUUUUCAUGAUUAUAAAAGCCACCCCUAUGGAGGGAUAGUCUUCUAAACAACUUACAAAGGAUGGGGUCAUGUUGUAGCUCUUAAAUCUACAGGUCUCAGGUAUGGGCCUUAAGUCUGGGAUGGGGCAGGGGGGAGGCCGAGCAGCUUCUCAGGGGAGUGUUGACAAAUCCCCAGAUAUUGAUUGGACGCGGGAGCUUCUGGACACAUACAUCCAAACUGAUCCCCUCAAAGCCAAGGUGAGACGGUGUACACUGAAAGCCGAAGAGGAUGCUGGAGGGGUAUUAAAUGUUGUGACAGAGAUGUAUGUCCUGCACAGAGAAAGCGUGUCUCCCUGACAGCCUUAUUGCUACAGGUUCACUGUACACAGCAAUAUGCAGCACCCUAUGACUGAUUGCCCUGUGAGGGUUUAUGGUUGUUGCAGUUGGGCG